rnacentral:lncRNA from 1 species
AUGUCUGUGAUGCUUCAGUGGCUGGGGCAGGCAUUGCUCAGCACAGUGAAUCAGCUCCUGGAGCCUGCCCCGGCUCCUUUCCUGGCUCCCUUCCUGCCGGGAACGCUCCCAGAGCUGCCCAUGGGUCUUCUCUCACCCAGGAACGCUCCCAGAGCAGCCCCUGGCUCUGCCCUCACCCAGGAACACUCCCAGAGCAGCCCCUGGCUCUGCCCUCACCCAGGAACACUCCCAGAGCAGCCCCUGGCUCUGCCCUCACCCAGGAACGCUCCCAGAGCAGCCCCUGGCUCUGCCCUCACCCAGGAACACUCCCAGAGCAGCCCCUGGCUCUGCCCUCACCCAGGAACGCUCCCAGAGCUGCCCCUGGCUCCUCUCAUCCCAGGAACACUCCCAGAGCAGCCCCUGGCUCGCCCACCGGACCCCCAGAGCUGCCCCUGGCCCCUCAUCCCAGGAACACCCCAGAGCAGCCCCUGGCUCCGCUCCACCCAGGAACGCUCCCAGAGCUGCCCCUGGCUCCUCUCAUCCCAGGAACACUCCCAGAGCUGCUCCUGGUUCUGCCCUCACCCAGAAACGCUCCCAGAGCUGCUCCUGGCUCCCUUCUGGAGCUGCCCCUGGCUCCUCUUAUCCCAGGAACACUCCCAGAACUGUCCCUGGCUCUGCCCUCACCCAGAAACGCUCUCAGAGCUGCCCCUGGCUCCUCUCAUCCCAGGAACGCUCCCAGAGCUGCUCCUGGCUCCCUUCUGGAGCUGCCCCUGGCUCCUCUCAUCCCAGGAACGCUCCCAGAGCUGCUCCUGGCUGUGCCCUCACCCAGGAACUCUCCUGGAGCUGCCCCUGGUUCUGCCCUCCUGGUCAUCCCCUCUUGGAGCUGCCGCGGGCUCUGCCCUCCCAGAGGCUGCCCCUGUUUCUGCCUUCACCCAGGAAUGCUCCCAGCCCUGCCCUGCCUGUCCCCUCCCGGCCCUGCCCCUGGCCCCCUCACCCCGAAACGCUCCUGGCCCCACAGCCCCAGCAGCUGUGGGGGUUGUGCUGCCCUUCUGCCCUGGGUUUGUUAUUUUUUAUUAA